rnacentral:rRNA from 1 species
AUUGAACGCUGGCGGCAGGCCUAACACAUGCAAGUCGAGCGGUUGAAGGAAGCUUGCUUCCUGAUUCAGCGGCGGACGGGUGAGUAAUGCCUAGGAAUCUGCCUGGUAGUGGGGGACAACGUUUCGAAAGGAACGCUAAUACCGCAUACGUCCUACGGGAGAAAGCAGGGGACCUUCGGGCCUUGCGCUAUCAGAUGAGCCUAGGUCGGAUUAGCUAGUUGGUGAGGUAAUGGCUCACCAAGGCGACGAUCCGUAACUGGUCUGAGAGGAUGAUCAGUCACACUGGAACUGAGACACGGUCCAGACUCCUACGGGAGGCAGCAGUGGGGAAUAYUGGMCAAUGGGCGAAAGCCUGAUCCAGCCAUGCCGCGUGUGUGAAGAAGGUCUUCGGAUUGUAAAGCACUUUAAGUUGGGAGGAAGGGCAGUAAGCGAAUACCUUGCUGUUUUGACGUUACCGACAGAAUAAGCACCGGCUAA